GCUCUGCGCUCGCGCCGCAUUCACUGUUUAGUUUGUUACCGUGUCAUAUCAUAUUGUAAUAUCGACCGGCGUGCGCGACUCUAUAUUUCCAAUUUAUUAUAAAAGCAAGUUUAUAAAAUUUAUUCAACGUUUUAAAAUCUAAAUCGUAACACAAGAUGGAUUCUAAUAACAAAAAUUCUUCUCAAAACCGAAAUACUGCUCAAACUUCCAACUACAGCCCGUGGAAUUUGUUAUUUACCUCAAGAAAUCGUACCAACAGUGAAACAAGUGUUAGUUCCACAAAUUCUCAAAGUAGCCAAACAGGUACUCAAUUUGGCGGACUACAAAGACAGACAAGCAAAGACGAAGAAUAUCUUUGGAUGAUGUGGCGUUCUUAAUUGCACGCGAACCGACAGCGGAGUCCGCAACCGGAGGAAUUGAACUUUUUAGUUUUUACGUUUAAUUGAUAAAGCAUUAUAAUUAUGCGUACAGAUACGCCUAGAUCGUACAAUUAGCGUAGAUAAUGUUCGAGCACGUGGCGUUACUCCCAGCGUGGUUUCUCAUGGCUUGGCUGGGAGCCUGUCUUCUCUUCAGUCCUUUCGCAUUAUUCUUCGUAAUGUGCUUACCCCAAUUACCCCUUCUAGUCGUAAGGAGGGCAUGCCAUAUACCAUUCGAGUAUAUUUGAUAAAGAAUGGGAAUGUGUGAUUUGAUGUGUGAUAGUCAUGUAUUUUAGAGUAUGAAUAUUAUAAUUUUAUUGAUAAGUUUGUAUAAAGUGUAAAUAUUUUAUAAUGAAUACAUUUUUAUUUUAUGCACUA